rnacentral:sRNA from 1 species
CAGCGAGAGAGCGUUGCCGCAGGCAACGACCCGAAGGGCGAAGCGCGCAGCGUUGAGUAAUCCUUCCCCCACCACCA